rnacentral:rRNA from 1 species
UACGGAGGGGGCUAGCGUUGUUCGGAAUUACCGGGCGUAAAGCGCGCGUAGGCGGACCUGCAAGUCGGGGGUGAAAGCCCGAGGCUCAACCUCGGAACUGCCUUCGAUACUGCGGGUCUCGAGUCCGGGAGAGGUGAGUGGAAUUCCUAGUGUAGAGGUGAAAUUCGUAGAUAUUAGGAAGAACACCAGUGGCGAAGGCGGCUCACUGGCCCGGUACUGACGCUGAGGCGCGAAAGCGUGGGGAGCAAACAGG